rnacentral:rRNA from 1 species
UACGUAGGUGGCAAGCGUUGUCCGGAUUUACUGGGCGUAAAGAGCGCGCAGGCGGUUGGAUAAGUCGAAUGUGAAAGCCCCCGGCUCAACUUGGGGAGGGUCAUUCGAUACUGUCCGACUCGAAGGCAGGAGAGGGAAGCGGAAUUCCCGGUGUAGUGGUGAAAUGCGUAGAUAUCGGAGGAACACCAGUGGCGAAGGCGGCUUCUGGCCUGUUCUUGACGCUGAGGCGCGGAAA